GAGGUAUCUGCACCCCCAGGUUGAUAGCAGCGUUACUCACAAUGUCCGGGACAUGGAGACGGGCUCAGUGCCCACCGACAGGCAAAUGGAUGAAGAAGGUGUGGUGUGUACAUACAUGGAAUAUUAAUCAGCAGGAAGUUCCGCCAUUUGCAAUAACACGGAUGGACCCUGGGGACGUUAUCCUAAAUGAGAUCAAUCAGACAGAGAAAGACAAAUAUUAUAUAAUUUCUUAUUUGUGGCAUCUAAAAAAACUGAACUCAUAGAAACAGAGGAUAGAUUGCCAGAAGGGAGGGGGAGUGAAAUGGUGAGGGUGGUCGAAAAGUACAAACUUUCAGUAACGAGAUAAAAUUUUUUAGAAAUGUGUGUCGGGAAAAAAUACUGACAAAACAGCUGGAUGUAUGAGCUGUUGGUAUUUUUCAGCCUAAAGUAAGGCACGUUCGUUUACAGAAUUGGAACGAAACAGUAAAGUAUGGGGCCAGACCACCCAAAAGGAGUAACUGAAGAUUGCCCACCACGCACAGGCAGGGCUGGGGGCUGCACAUUUCCCGCUAAGCAUGCCUUCGUGGUCUUGCAAAGCCCCCGACCUCUGAGCGCCUCGGCAUGCUGGUUUGGAAAACGCGAAGUGUGGGGGAUUCUGCGCCUGAGGCCCGCACGAGCCUGCGGGAGGAGGAGCCGGCCGUGGGUUCCCACUGUCCGUCACUGCUCUGGGUUCACGUUCACCGUGGUGCACACGCAUGACUGCGUGCCGGCCAUGCCUCUCUUCCCGCGACCACAGCGGUCGUUCUGCGCAGGAAAACAGCAACUUCCAUGGCAAAACACGAAUCCCUCAUUUGAUAUAAUUCCAGAUAUGCUCCUUGUAAGUGGCACAUGGUCAGGUGUCCAGCUGCAGCUCAUCCCUCGAAUGGGGACGGCCCACGUGGGGUGAGCGUGUGCAGACACAGCGUGAGGACGCUCUCUGAGGCAGGUGUCCAGAAUCCCAGCACAGCACCUUCCGGGCAAGACGUCCACUGCCUUUCCCCGUCACAGCAAAAAUGCUAAAUUGUUUUUCCUGUUGGCAUGAGUGUCUGAAGAUGUGUCACCAGAAGAAGACCAAUAUUCAAAACGUGCUCCCUCCUCAGAUUGGCCCAGGAAGUCGGAGUUUACAGUGUGUAACCUGCAGGCCCGUUUUCCCACGUGUGCAGUGGGGACGGUUACUGGAGAAAUAGGUAGCAGCUGCACGCAAAAGGUUACGCCGAACCACCCAGCCCACCGACUGGCGGGAUGCACAGCUUCACCGUGGCUGCAGAAUCCCACCCCAGCCCCCCUCGCGGGGACCAGCAGGCCACCGUCAAGUGCGCGGGACGUACAGCCACUGCUACCCACAGGGAGACUGGCGUCCUCUACGUGGAACAUUCCGGAAGUUGUAGAAAGGCUAAGGUGCCCCUUCUACCUGAGAGUGUGGGCAGCAGGGUGCAUCCCCAGCCUGUGCUGCCUGAGCGAACCUUCCGGAAAGCCCUGCAGAUCUACAUCGGGGGUGAGGGAUGAAGAGGCGGAAUCAGGGCGCCCCCCGCCCCGGGCGGCACCUGAGCUGACCCAGUGUGCCCCCCCCCCACGGCUGGGGGAAUGGUUGCAUCCAGCGUGGCCUCGCUGCCCAUAUGCCAUUCAGCUCCUGUCUGCCUUUUUGUUUACACUGGGGACACAAUGGGAGCUACAGUCCUUCCAAUACAUCAUUUAUAAGUGUAUUCUACCUCUGAAUGUACAGACAGAGCUUGCUGUGGGUGAAUAAGCCCCUGUGAAUAUUGCCAAGACACUGUGCUUUGUUCAGCACUAUUCUUCACAAUAGAUACCACACUUUGGAAGUAAUUUUAAAAAGGGAAUCAAAAUAGUGGUACUUUUAGCCUUUGUUUCUUUUAUACCACAGUGCAUUCUCUGUCUCUCAUUCAGCCGCUCCCAUUAUACUGACAAAUUAAAUAAACCACUCCAUUGCAGAAAGGCUCGGCCAGGCAGGGGCUUCAUCCAUCCACUGCGGCCCCGGGAAGUGGAAAGAAACACUGAGGCGGUUUCUGCUACCAAUUGCAGCUAACUUCAGUCGAGGAGCCAAAAAAAAAAAAAAAAUGGGGGGUAGGAUUCAGAACUUGAGGGGGCUGGCAGCACCCAAGAGCUGGCCUCCGCGGCAGGUAAUGUCCACGGCGGAGAGGGCCGCGGCUUCUAGAAGCGCUGAGAGUCCCUUCCUGCUGCGUGGGCCUGGGAACAGGAGCAGACACCUCUGCGCAUGCCGCCCACAGAUGAGAAAUCCGGCUCGGAGACAUGUUGAAGGGCCGAAAUGCCUUCGCUAAAGAUGGACACACGAAGCCAUCCUCUGCAUGACUUGAAGAUUUGGUGGCAACAAGUGUGGGGAAGCGCGGAGACCGCGAGGAGCGAUUGUGAGGGGCUCUGCUGGAAUUUGGCAGCGCGGAGGCUUGGAGAACAGCCCCAUGCUGGCUCCCAUUCAGCAGGCCAGUUUUCCUCGAGCUUUGGAAGUUUCGCUCAGCCGUGCACUCAAUGGCUUCACAAAGCUGAUUACAAGCUUCAGCGCAUUCCUGAAGGAGCCAAAAGCGACGCAGGUGCAAACGAGCCGAGGGAGCCCCUUAUCCCGGUGACAGAAUGGGACAAGCUGGGAAAGGCUUGGACCACACAAAUCCAAGCUCACCAGGCAGCAGAAAGCCUGCCUUGGGAACCGGGGGUCAUUAUCCGCCCUAUUCAGCGGGGCCCCGGGACCCUGGGGGCCCGGAGGCCGGUCCGCGCGGGAGCGCCAGUGCGCCUUGGGGCUGUGGGGACCCCGCCAGGGCCUGGGGCUGGGCCGGGGCGCGGGGUGGAGGGCUGUGCCUGUGCACCCGCGGCUUCGGUAAAAUCUGUGCUCUGACGUGCCCGUGUCAACACCAGUAGGGACACAGGAGAAAAAGCGCGCAGGACGCAACCGGGUGUGUGGAUCCUGCAAAACGUUGGCUCAUCCAGCGUCCAGACCUCCCUGCCCUGUCUCUGCCCGGCCUGGCGCUGAGCGUCCCCGACGGGCCCCCAGGCCACUGACACAGCCGCAAGGGUCAUUCUGCGCCCUUUCUCUCCCAGCCCCCCUUUCCUUUCAGUCUUCCUAGAGACGGGGUCCCGCUGAGCACAGCCCGACGCGGUGCUGUGGGAGGGACAGUGGGGGUGGGGGUGGCAGGUCACGGGGUCGCCCCUUCGAACUGCUCUUGGCUUGGCCUCGGAUGCCUUUGCUGCGAGACUGAUUCCCUGGCGGGGAGGAGGGCCCGGCCCCUCUGGAAGAACGAAAGACGUCCCCCACUCACGCUCAGGGACCAGGGCCGGGGGACAGGGGGCCGCAGGCCGAGGAGGAGGGAUUCCAGGCAGAGGAGCUGGUACGCGGGCGUCCCCCUGGGGCCGCCACCGGCCCGCGUCAGCUUCGGGGCAGUGAGUCCCCGCGAGCGCGGCGUCUGCCUGGUGCGCGCCCCCUCGCUGCCCGCCGCGCGCGGGGCCUGGUGGCGCCCGGGGGUCCCCGCGGGCAGGGCCAGGGCAGGGCGCUCGCGCCGACGCUCUUUUGUCUGAUAACUAAUUUGAGUUAAUGCGAUCUUUAUGUAAAGCUAACAGCGGAUAAUUGUCUAUUUUCUCGCCAACAAUCUCCAUCACAAUCACUUAUCUGGAAACCUGCGCCGGAUUAAUCGUCAUAUUCCCGAGAUGAGCGUCGCUGCGAUCCGCAGCGAGCCCGGGUGGGGACCUGGGAACGCCUCCCCCACGCUUGCGGGCCCGGUGCGUGCGUCACGGCUACUGGCCACAAGCUGGGGGGCCCGGGGGCUGGUGCCCACGGGCGCGCACGGCGCCUUCUUCAGGGAUCGCUUCUACUUCUACUCGGGUGGGUUGGGGGACGGGGUGCAGGAGGAGGAGGGAAGGGGAGGAGGGGAAGAGGAAGAGGAAGAGGGGAGGCAGCGAGGUGGCGGUCCUGCGGGGCUGCAGGGCGGGGCGCAGCCUGUGUCUAACUGGGCCUCCUGGUCCACGCGGCGGGAGUCGUCAGCGCCAGAAUCAAGUCUCCUGACGGGGGAGAGAGCAUGCCCCCCCCCUUGUUUUCUGCAGAAAAGAUAUUCCCUUCCUUCCUCUGGGUCGCUCUAGCUUUGUGCCCUGCCCCAGCCACCCGUCACCGCCUUAGAUCCCUCCUUCAAGGUCCCCCAUAUCUGCAAAUUAUUGGCAAUAGUUACACCCCUCUGCCGUGAUUGAAAUACCCAAGGAGAGAGCCUGAGGUGUGGAGGCACGGCCCAGGGCCGCAAUCCCCACCAGGCCCCAGGGUGAGGGGUAAAAAUGCAGUCGGGGCCUCUGGGGGAAAGGCGCUUGAACGACAAAGAUUUUGUCUUUCUGAGCUGAAGUCAAAACAUCCGUGUC